rnacentral:rRNA from 1 species
GGGGAAUCUUGCGCAAUGGGCGAAAGCCUGACGCAGCAACGCCGCGUGGGGGAUGAAGCUUCUCGGAGUGUAAACCCCUUUCGACCCGGAAGAAUGCCCGCAAGGGCUUGACGGUACGGGUAUAAGAAGCCCCGGCUAACUACGUGCCAGCAGCCGCGGUAAAACGUAGGGGGCCAGCGUUGCUCGGAAUUACUGGGCGUAAAGGGUCUGUAGGCGGUGCGGCAAGUCGGAAGUGAAAUUUCAGGGCUUAACCCUGAAACUGCUCCCGAAACUGCUGUGCUCGAGUGCGAGAGAGGCGAGUGGAAUUGCAGGUGUAGCGGUGAAAUGCGUAGAUAUCUGCAGGAACAUCCGAGGCGAAAGCGGCUCGCUGGAUCGCAACUGACGCUGAGAGACGAAAGCUAGGGGAGCAAACAGGAUUAGAUACCCUGGUAGUCCUAGCCCUAAACGAUCAGGACUGGGCGUGGGCCCUGUACGGGGCUCGUGCCGGAGCUAACGCGUUAAGUCCUGCGCCUGGGGAGUACGGUCGCAAGGCUG